AUGCGCCCGGACCGUUUUGAGUACACCAUCCGGGUCCUUUCAGUGCACUGCUUUCCCCCCGAUCGUAAUUGGAACGCCCUAAUCAAACUAAGUAUAUCUGUUUGUGUUGCAAUGGCCAUGAGACAUACCAUUGACCGCCAGCAUCCCAGCUACAAAGAGGGGAAACGUAAAUUGCUUGAAAGUAAACAAGACCACCUUAUAGCUGAAGCUGAGAGAGCCGUUGAGGAGAGGAAACGUGCGCGUUCUGGUGGAGGACCUCCAUGUGGCUCCACUAGUGACGGUGCAAGACGAGGCAAGCCGAGGGGGAGGCGUGGAGGGCGACGCGGAGGGCGACGCAAAGCCUCAGCCACAGUCACGUUCCCCCCAGCUGAGUGCUCCCCGUCAUCCCAUGAGGACGUUCCGCUUACUGUACCUUCAGCGCAACUGAAUCCUCAAGAGGCAUUUGAAAAGUUUGUGGAGAGGCUUUCAUCUCUAAAUGCCUCUGGUCCUUCUGCCAAGCCUCAAAGAAGCUCUGCAUCUUCAUGGACUUUUCGGCAGCAGAAAGCCUCAGAGCGCUGGACAGAAGCACGACCAAACCACCUACAAGGCCUCAUUGAAAAGGAGGCUGUUGGUCAUCCCUUGUGUUGCCUCUGCCCCAAGCCGGCUGUUAUUAGGUGCAGAGAGUGUCUCCCUGAAGAGUGGUUCUGUGGGGACUGCGAUGUACUGCAUCACAAAAAACAGCCACUCCACAACAGGGAAUGUCUGAUACGUGGGUUCUUUGAACCCAUUCCUCCAACCACACGCGUCAUGAAAGGGGAGGAUGGAUAUUUCACUCAGGAGCAAGCUUGCAUCUUGCCAACUGUGAGUGUGUCAAACUGCGUCUGCGAUGGCACAACCUUCACUGUGUUACCAGGCAAACCAGUGAUUUUAAUUAACAUCAAUGGACGUUAUGACUUGCAUCAGCCACUGUAUGUAUGUCAGACGUGCCAGCAGCAGAGGACCCCUGACAUGAAGCACUUCCUUCAGAGUGGAUAUUGGCCAGCCUCUCUCAAUACUUCCACGUUGUACACGUUGGACCUCUUGAGCUCCUUUCAGGAACUGAAAGUAAUCUCUCCGGGAUUCUCCAGACAGGCCUUCGCAAAGCUCCUGGAGCAUCGCACCAAGUGUGGAGGACGAGUUAGUAUUAUUGUUCUUGGACAUAUUACAACAUUUCUGUGCAUAAGCAGACAACAUCCCAAAUAUUUUUUUAUUCUAUGUAUCUUCCAGUCUGGACAUAUCAAAGGUGACACCCUGCAGCGCAGCUUCUUGGAGUUUUCAUAUGCUUCGUUUGAGAAGGACCAACUCUGCUGUGGUGCUGUUUUCACCUGCACAGCCUGCACACCAGAAAUGUUGGCUGUUUCAGUUGAUGGAAACAGAAAGUUAUAUCGCUUUCGCCGAAAUGGAAGUUCUGGUGACCAUGCCUUUUUUGAAGGUUUAUUUGUGGCUGAAGACUUUGCAGUGUCUGGAUUUGUGGACAUGAUCCAGAAAGCUGUGAAAAAGGCAAGUUUGAAUCGUAAUUUGACAAAAUACUUCUGUUGCUAA
ensembl:lncRNA